UCCGGUUCCUCACCGGCAGUCUCCUUAGAGUCCCCAACUAAAUGAUGGCAACUAAGGACAAGGGUUGCGCUCGUUACGGGACUUAACCCAACAUCUCACAACACGAGCUGACGACAGCCAUGCAGCACCUGUCUCUGCGCUCCUUUCGGCACUUCCAACUCUCAUCGGAAUUCGCAGGAUGUCAAGGGUAGGUAAGGUUCUUCGCGUUGCAUCGAAUUAAACCACAUGCUCCACCGCUUGUGCGGGCCCCCGUCAAUUCAUUUGAGUUUCAACCUUGCGGCCGUACUUCCCAGGCGGAAGACUUAUCGCGUUAGCUUCGAUACCGACUGGUUCCCCAGCCAACAUCUAGUCCUCAUCGUUUACAGCGUGGACUAC
rnacentral:misc_RNA from 1 species